rnacentral:rRNA from 1 species
AGUUCGAUAUGGCUCAGAUUAACGCUGGCGGCAGGCCUAACACAUGCAAGUCGAGCGGUCACCUUGGUGACGAGCGGCGGACGGGUGAGUAACGCGUGGGAAUCUACCUGGUAGUGGGGGACAACAGUCGGAAACGACUGCUAAUACCGCAUACCCUUCGGGGGAAAGUGGGGUCUUCGGACCUCACGCUAUCAGAUGAGCCCGCGUCGGAUUAGCUUGUUGGUGAGGUAAAGGCUCACCAAGGCGAUGAUCCGUAGCUGGUCUGAGAGGAUGACCAGCCACACUGGGACUGAGACACGGCCCAGACUCCUACGGGAGGCAGCAGUGGGGAAUAUUGGACAAUGGGGGCAACCCUGAUCCAGCCAUGCCGCGUGUGUGAGGUCGUUGAGCACUUUCAGCUGUGUUAAUACAACAGCAGAAGAAGGACCGGCAACUCCGUGCCAGCAGCCGCGGUAAUACGGAGGGUCCGAGCGUUAAUCGGAAUUACUGGGCGUAAAGCGCGCGUAGGUGGUUCAGUCAGUCAGAUGUGAAAGCCCCGGGCUCAACCUGGGAACUGCACCUGAUACUGCUGAGCUAGAGUACGGUAGAGGGUAGUGGAAUUUCCGGUGUAGCGGUGAAAUGCGUAGAGAUCGGAAGGAACACCAGUGGCGAAGGCGACUACCUGGACCAUACUGACACUGAGGUGCGAAAGCGUGGGUAGCAAACAGGAUUAGAUACCCUGGUAGUCCACGCCGUAAACGAUGUCAACUAGCCGUUGGGGGACUUGAUCCUUUAGUGGCGAAGCUAACGCGAUAAGUUGACCGCCUGGGGAGUACGGCCGCAAGGUUAAAACUCAAAUGAAUUGACGGGGGCCCGCACAAGCGGUGGAGCAUGUGGUUUAAUUCGAAGCAACGCGAAGAACCUUACCUACUCACAUCCAGAGAACUUUCCAGAGAUGGAUUGGUUCGCUCUGGAAGGUGCUGCAUGGCUGUCGUCAGCUCGUGUUGUGAAAUGUUGGGUUAAGUCCCGUAACGAGCGCAACCCUUAUCCUUAUUUGCCAGCGAGUAAUGUCGGGAACUCUAAGGAGACUGCCGGUGACAAACCGGAGGAAGGUGGGGAUGACGUCAAGUCAUCAUGGCCCUUACGAGUAGGGCUACACACGUGCUACAAUGGCCGGUACAGAGGGCUGCAAACUCGCGAGAGUAAGCUAUCUCACAAAACCGGUCGUAGUCCGGAUCGCAGUCUGCAACUCGACUGCGUGAAGUCGGAAUCGCUAGUAAUCGUGAAUCAGAAUGUCACGGUGAAUACGUUCCCGGGCCUUGUACACACCCCCGUC